GUCCCUGUAGGGCAAUAAGUAGCGCGUUGGACUUUUCAUCCAAAGGUCGUAGGUUAGAAUCUUACCUGGGAUG